rnacentral:rRNA from 1 species
GACGAACGCUGGCGGCGUGCUUAACACAUGCAAGUCGAACGGAAAGGCCCUGCUUGCAGGGUACUCGAGUGGCGAACGGGUGAGUAACACGUGGGUGCUCCGCCCUGCACUUUUGGAUAAGCUUGGGAAACUGGGUCUAAAACCGGAUAGGAACCAUCUUUAGUGUAGUGGUGGGAAAGUUUUUUGGGUGUAGGGUGAGCUCGCGGGCUAUCAGCUUGUUGGGGGGGUAAUGGGCUACCAAGGCGGCGACGGGUAGCCGGCCUGUGAGGGUGUACGGCCACAGUGGGUCUGAGGGACGGCCCAAGCUCCUACGGGAGGGCACAGUGGGGAAUAUUGCACCAGGGGCGCAAGGCUGGUGCAGCGAGGCCGCGGGGUGGAAGAACGCCUUCGGGUUGUAAAAUCGUUUCGGUAGGGACGAAGCUUUUUGUGACGGUACCUAGAUAAGAAGCACCGGCUAACUACGUG